CACCCACCUCAGCCUUCGAAAGUGCUAGGAUUACAGGCGUGAGCCAUUGUGCCCAGCCAAUUCCAAAGAUAUUUUAAAUUUCCCUGGAGGAAAUAAGAGUGAGAAUUCCUAGAGUGGCACAUUGAGUUUGUUCCUCAAAUACUAUUUGAAUUUACCCUGCAAAUAUGUGGUGUCAGGUGGGCGUUGUGUAAUGGAAUUUGAAGGACAUCUAUGACCAUCUAUAGGGAGCUGAGAUUUAUAAAUUUCUUGAGUAGGCAUUUUAGACAGGCUCGAUGAGGCAUUGAGAGCUGAUGUUUCCCCAAGUGGAAUGAACACAUCAGGUGUUACAUGACUCAGAUUCUGUUUUAAGUUAGACUCAAUCCACACUACAGACUUGGAUGGUCAGAAUAAUAAUGUGAAUCAGCAUGUGUUGUAAGAUGCAUGACAUUUCUGCAUCUGUCAGCAAUGACAAAUGUUCUUUCUCUUUCUCAGAUUCAACUAGAUAAGUGGAUGUUUGCUUCAUUCUUAUUUUGAACAGUUGACUAUAUCAAGAAACCACACCACUUAUUUAUGCCCAUAUUAGGCAGUACAGUAUCUGAUGGAAAGGACUCUGGUAAUUCAAUUUAAUAUGUAACACGCUUCACACCGUGACACAGCAGGAGAACCCAGAGUGGCAGCUGUUGGAAUGAAUGCCCUCUUCCUGCUUAAGUCUGACAUUUCCAAGAGUAAAGUGGGGAGUCCUGUUUUUUCAGAAACGUAGCAGCAUCAGAGAUGUGGCUAUUGUGAUCAGAAUUACUUGGCUAGGUGAGUUUUGGGUUUGAUUUACUUUUUCAUAUUUGUCUUUCUGCAUGUAUAACAUAUUUUCCUACGGAGAAAGAUAUGCUGAAGUUAAACUUCACAUGAGUUGACUACCUAAAAUUACAGCUGUUAGCAAUUUUUAAUAAAACACUAUCCACCGCACUAUAAAAACGGAUUCCAUUUUCAUAAUGUUUGUGUCAUUCCACUGAACAGUGCAGUUAGAAAUCCCAGAAGCAAAUGCAGCACAAAUUGGAGAGCAGCUGUGUAGAGGUGACUUCUAAUCAUAAUUGAGCACAAACAGGAAUAAAUAAAUCAAGGACGAAACUUCUCAACUUCUGAUGCCUGGCGAUGUCAGUUUUAAAGCCAGAUAAAUAUCAAGCGAAUUGCAAAAGAAAUUACACAGCAGAUAGAAGAGUGACAGUCAAACACCCACCCUUUCUGGGAACACUCCUAUGUACCAGAAACACAAGAACUUUAUUUUGAAACCUGGAUGACAUAUUUGAAACUGCUGGUGUUCCUGACUUUAGCUUGGCAGAAAUGCCAGCUGAGUGUGCACAUAGCACAGGUGGACGAAUGGCAAACAAGACACCUCACAGCUGUAGGCAAGGAGGUGCUUCUAAGGGCAUACAGUCUGGGCAGUGCCAAGGAAGACAGGUAUGAUACGAAGAGGGAGGACGGGCUGGAAUUUGGGGGUUUUGUCAUCAGUGUGUGUGUAUUAAAAUAUAUUGGUGCAUUUUUGAAAGUUAAUUGUUGUUGGAUUUUCAGCUGAGGCCUCAUUCUUAGGAAAUAACGUGAUGGCAAUAAAUGUCAGCCUUAGCUAGUGACCCUUAAAAAGCUAAACCAGGAUAAAAAUAAUAACUUGGCAAAGGUUCCUAUUUGGUGCACUCCUUUUGUGCUCUGCCUUUGUCCUGAGUCUGCUUUGCCAAACACUCUGCCUUCAAGCACUGUUUUUAGGGAGAAGAGGCCAUUCUUUCUGAAGAGGGAACAGCUGAGAAAAGGACCAGCCCACAGAGGGAACGAGGACACUCCUAGCUGCUUUAAAGCCAUACCACAGGGCCUGUGAGUUUGUAACAAGACAAUGUUUUCUUGUUGCUCCCUUACCUAAGCCCCCCGCAAAAAAUCACCGUUUUUAUCAGCCCUUUAGUCCUUAAGAGUGCCUUUAGUGAUGAGACAGUGUUUCUGGAAGUUUCGUAUAAGUGCUUUUCUUUUCCCACAUGCAGAAGACUCAAGAGGUUGCAGAAUCAGAACAGCUUGUGUGCUUUUCCAUAUUAUAGCUUAUGUGUAUGACUAUACUGAUCUUCCAUUAAACAGGGCGUCUUACCCACCCUGCAGUGCUAAGCAUGUGUCAGAUUGGAAACUAAGUACCAUUUAAAAGAAAAUGUCUUUCAGUAUUUAAAAAAACAAAACAAAACUAAGAAAUAGAAAAUUAUCUCACAUCGAGCCAAGCCCUUUCUCAGAUACCCUUUUGCUUCUCAGUUUUAGGAGUUAUUCAAGUCUCUAGCCUCACUCUUCAUUGCCCUGACUUGUGCCUGAGAUGUUUUUAGUCCUUCAGCCAGUUCAAAUCAGGAAUGAGGUGCAUUUGAGCUCGACUUCUCUGCCAAGCAGAUAAUCCCCUAAUGACUGGUCAGCAUUUUCAUCCCAGAGAGUCAAACUGACCUUUCGGUAGCAGAGGUUGCUUUAGGUUUGUGCAAAAUAACUUUAAAGACAAGUAAAUUCCCACUUUGGGGGCGUCACCGUCAUCCCUUUGAUUGCCUGCAUUUCCUAGCAUUUCUUUCUCCAGUGUGGACAUUGCAAAACUUUGAUUUUUCAAAGUGGUUAUUUAGUUCCUAAAACAUUUAGAGUUGGGGCAAAAUUUGCAUAAUUCUAUAAAAAAGCUUAUACCUCAGCUUUGAAAAAUAUUUGAGAAAAUGUGAUUUGUGGGGGAAGGAAGUCUUAUCUUUUGGCCCAGAAGGUGUUUCACGGAAGUAAACUUGUUAAUGUUAGGAUUGCCUGUUAAGCACCAAAAAGUAAAAAAUCAAGAUUAGAAGGGUUUCUUUUAUCUCCGCUUCAAGUCUGCAGGGGUUUGAAGCUUAAGAUAGAGAAGGACUUUAGGGUUUUUUUUUUUUUUUUUUUUUUUU